rnacentral:snRNA from 1 species
AACUUUGCCCAGUGGCAGUGUUGGAGCCAAUGAGAUUUUUAUCUGAGGCGCCAUUAUUGCUAAUUGGAAACUUUUCCCAGCAAAGUAGUCUGGUUAUAAAUUCAUAUGUAGAAUUUGCAAAAUUAAAAUGUU